UGCUGUGACAACUAUAAGGAAAACUUCUGCAACCUACCGGAUUAUUUCAAACGCUAUUGCGGUAACAUAGAGGAGUACAUUAAACGCCGCGCAUCGGAUAUACUUUAUUGUCUAUUUCAUCCACUUGAGUAUGAGUGCGGUAAGAAUCAUUCUAUUUUCUUCAUUAGUAAAGUAGUGAGAUCAGGAUACAUAAAUCCCUUUUUCUUUUUUAAUUUUCUUUACUUGAAGUUAACAUAUCUAAAUUUAUCAGAUAUGUUAUCUUUUUUAAUUAAUAAUAAUAAUAAUAAGUUAAAAAUCAUUGCUUAUAUAUGGUUGUAAUAGUACCUGCAGGUGGCAAUAAGGCUGAGCAGAAAUCUAUUAUAACCGAAAAGUUAAUUGAAUCAUUCUAAUUUGUUUUUUAGUUAAUUGAUUCAGUUUUUGAGUUUGGAUCAAUUAUUAAGAUUAAAACCUUGAAAUAACCAAACCAAACAUAUAUAAGGGGUACUAUGUCAUUUUAGCUAGUUGUCUUCCUUCUUUAGAAGCUUGUUGCCUUCUUCUUUCUCAUCCUCUUUGUCCACUAAAGCUAAAGCACAUACACUCUCUUCGAUGUCAACAACAAAAAACGCAGACAUUCUUUCUCCUUUUUGUCAACAAAUUUAGACUGCUAAACACCAUAGAAGAUACCAAUUGCUCUUAAGCUUCUCUCUUUCUCUCAACUCCCUUGGUCUCGUUUGCCUUGGUCCCUCCUUCCCUUCAUUGUCUCUCCUCCUUAUCAUUUAAGCAAAUCCAAAUCCCAAAAAAGCUUUUAGUCUUUCUCUUAUCACGUCUUGAUCCCCACUUCUGUUCUCGUGAUGCUAGUCUACUGCCUUCUUCCUUCUCCAUUUUUGUUCUUUGUUGUUUGGCUACUAGCUAGAGCCCGUAUCUUCUUGAUCGUAUUAAGGGUUUCUCAUCUUCAUCAUCAAUUCUCUCUCUGAACCAAAUGCAAACUCAUCGAUUCUUCUCUUGCCAAGUUCAUGUGCCAACCACUACUAAGAUGAGAUCUAAAAAAGCUACCAACGCCCCUUCUGAAGAAGGACAAAAUUGUUGAAGGAUUUGUGAUAAUAUGCUUAUUCAGAAUCACAGGGACUACGCAUCGGGUGAGGAAUUGUUUUACGUUAUUACUCUGCUACCCUUUCAAUGCAAUAUGUUUAGUCUUGAGGGUUCACGUGUAUUUGAUUUACGAUUCUAUUUUCAAGGUUUUUUUUUUCCUUUCCCG
rnacentral:misc_RNA from 1 species